rnacentral:rRNA from 1 species
UACGUAGGGGGCAAGCGUUGUUCGGAAUUACUGGGCGUAAAGGGCGCGUAGGCGGCACAGCAAGUCGGGAGUGAAAGCCCGGGGCUCAACCCCGGAAUGGCUUUCGAGACUGCUGAGCUAGAGUACAGAAGGGGCAACCGGAAUUCCCAGUGUAGCGGUGAAAUGCGUAGAUAUUGGGAAGAACACCUGAGGCGAAGGCGGGUUGCUGGGCUGAUACUGACGCUGAGGCGCGAAAGCCAGGGGAGCAAACAGG